UACAGAGGGUGCGAGCGUUGUUCGGAAUUAUUGGGCGUAAAGCGCGUGUAGGCGGGAUGGCAAGUCGGGUGUGAAAGCCCUCAGCUCAACUGAGGAAGUGCGCCCGAAACUACUGUUCUUGAGUACUGGAGAGGGUGGCGGAAUUCCCGGUGUAGAGGUGAAAUUCGUAGAUAUCGGGAGGAACACCAGUGGCGAAGGCGGAUCUCUGGACAGUUACUGACACUGAGGCACGAAGGCCAGGGGAGCAAACGGG
rnacentral:rRNA from 1 species